UGGCGUUUUGUCAUACUAUAAGAUUCAUGGACGUGAUAAGAUCGUCGUCAAUGAGGAAACAGAGAAGGGGUCCAAGGUCAUCGGCGAGGUGUCGAUGCGGAGGAUUUCGAGGCAUAAGAACGGAUUCUCUAAUCAGACUCAUCAGGUCCCUCUCAGGCGCAAGCCAUUUGGGGAAGUUCAUCUCAAGGUUUCCUCAAUUCGAGAAAGCCGAUCAGAUGAUAAGAG
rnacentral:misc_RNA from 1 species